UACGUAGGUGGCGAGCGUUAUCCGGAUUUACUGGGCGUAAGGGGAGCGUAGGCGGACUUUUAAGUGAGAUGUGAAAUACUCGGGCUCAACUUGAGUGCUGCAUUUCAAACUGGAAGUCUAGAGUGCAGGAGAGGAGAAUGGAAUUCCUAGUGUAGCGGUGAAAUGCGUAGAGAUUAGGAAGAACACCAGUGGCGAAGGCGAUUCUCUGGACUGUAACUGACACUGAGGCUCGAAAGCGUGGGGAGCAAACAGG
rnacentral:rRNA from 1 species